AAGACAAUACUUUCAGGUAUUAUUUCUAUAGGUUCUAACUAGGAAAUGUGAUUGGAAAGUUUUGUCUUCUUGAUCAUCUUGAUGAUGAGUCAUAAUGUACUUUUCUGAUCUUGAAUUAGAUUAUAGCUCAUGCUUCAUGUGUGAGCUAUAAUCAUUAAUGAAUGUUCUGUUUCUUAUGAAGCUUGGGAAGAAGAGUAUAUGAUCAGAGUGUU